rnacentral:rRNA from 1 species
UGGGGAAUUGUUCGCAAUGGGCGCAAGCCUGACGACGCAACGCCGCGUGGAGGAUGAAGAUUUUCGGAUCGUAAACUCCUGUCGAAUGGGACGAAUGGCUCGGCCGUGAACAACGGCCGGGAAUGACGGUACCGUGAGAGGAAGCCCCGGCUAACUCCGUGCCAGCAGCCGCGGUAAUACGGGGGGGCGAGCGUUGUUCGGAAUUACUGGGCGUAAAGGGCUCGUAGGUGGCCACCUAAGUCCGACGUGAAAUCCCUCGGCUCAACCGGGGAACUGCGUCGGAUACUGGGUGGCUUGAAUCCGGGAGAGGGACGUGGAAUUCCAGGUGUAGCGGUGAAAUGCGUAGAUAUCUGGAGGAACACCGGUGGCGAAGGCGGCGUCCUGGACCGGUAUUGACACUGAGGAGCGAAAGCCAGGGGAGCAAACGGGAUUAGAUACCCCGGUAGUCCUGGCCCUAAACGAUGAGUGCUUGGUGUGGCGGGUAUCGAUCCCCGCCGUGCCGGAGCUAACGCGUUAAGCACUCCGCCUGGGGAGUACGGCCGCAAGGCUA